AAACCGAGCUCUGCUUUCCAGGGCCUUGGCGAAAGUCUACCGUUAGCGAAGUCUACGGUUGCUCAGGGCAGAAAUGUAGAUGAGGAGGAGGGGACGACGAGUUGUUCUCAGGAAGGGAGGAAGGCACAAGUUGGCUAGAGAGAAUCUGUCUGCUCUAACACAAUGAACAAGUGUGGUGUAACAAAAUCAAAAGGACUCUCGAGCUAAACAGUUUUGCGCUCAUUCCUGGCUUUGCUAUCGAUUUCCUAUUACUAUGGGCAAGUGUCUUCAUGAGGAGUCUAGAGGUGCCCUCAGAGGCUAGAAGAGGACACUGAUUCCCCUGGAGCUGGAGUUAGGAUGUGACCCACCCUGUGGGUACUUAGAAUUGAACCCAGGUCCUUUGGAAGAAUGGCAGCCUAUAUACAAGACAUGGAAGACGGAAGCUUGAAACGUGCUCUUGCUGGCAAGUCCGUUCAUUUACUGGCAUUACAGCCUACUUCUUCAGGAUUCCAGCAUAUACUGAAGACCAGUGAGACAUCCAGCCUCGUGGACUGAAAAACUACUAGGUUCUUGGAUCUUCUGUUAGUAGACAGUCAAUGUUGGACUAGCUGGACCACAGCCUGCAAGUCAUACUAAUACAUUCCAUCUAUGCACCGUCAGUGCAGUUCCUCUAGAGAACCCUGAUGAGCACAGCCGCUGAGGCAUCUCUCCAGCCUCUCCACCUGUUUUUGAAACAGGGUUUCAAUUGUGUAGUCCUAGCAGACCUAGGACUCACUAUGUAGACCAGGCUGAUCUGGAACUCAUAGAAAUCCAUCUUCCUCUGCCUCCCAAGCACUAAUCUCAAAGUUUAACCUUGCUCACUUUUAAUUUCAUAGGAAGAGAAUACAAUAUGUAUUAGUUAUUCACCAUUAUGCCUUAUAGAUACACCAGUCGUGGUGGUUGUAUAUGUAUCUAUAGCUUAUGGGUUUGCAGUGCUGUAUAGUCCUAUAGCUACUAAAUAAAUCACCUAUAUCCAUUA